CACGUUUACGGGCCUAUCAUUAUAUAGAGCAUUUGCUCCAAUAAAAAAGAAAGAGUUGUUUGAAGAGUUGUCAAAAUUAAAAUUACAUACACCGAAGUAAGAAAAACGGACAAACUAGUGAGACCAAAACGUUUUUGCCAAAUAAUAAUUCAGGAGCUCGGUGUUCAUCUUUGCCAUGGUUCCGUAAGACACCAUUGUCAUCCUUUUAGGGAAUUUUUUUUUCGUUUGUUUGUUCUUGUUUUUGUUUUUGUUUUUAUUAUUAUUUGUGUUCCACCCAAGUAGUGAAAAUGGGAUUUGGGCUUGGGCUUACACAGGUGUAGCCCGGACCAAAGUACUAUACCUCCAGAACCUCCUAAAGAUUUUCUGAUAAAAGAAAUAGAAAUAUUGGACCACAAACGAAACUGAAACGUUUUAUUUCUUGAGUGCCAAAAAGAACAAAGAACCAUCUUCCCUCUCAACACACCCAAAUCACCAUCCCUCUGAAUCUCUGUGCAUUUUUUAUCUCGUUCGUGAUUUCUGGUUCCCUUUCUAUUUUAUCAAAGGACAUCAAUGUCUGAAUGCUAGCUUUACUCAAGGAGCCAAACGCAAACGAAGCAGAGGCUGCUCCGGCGUCGGCGAAGGUGAUGAUUCGGAAUUCUACGGACGAGGACGUCAACCUGUUAAUAAUCUGCCCUGUUAUACUUUAAUUGAAAUUUGAAAGUCUACAAUGGCGUAGUCUUUGUUCGAUCUUCUUCAACUUCAUGAAGCCAAGGCCGAUCAGGGUUCUGCAUCUUUUUUGUGGGGAGAAACAAGGGUGCAUGAAGUUGUGGGUGGGAAUGAAGCUGAAGCUGAGGGUGAAGAUGGAGCUCAAGCUGAGGAUGAAGAGGAAGGGGAAGGUAAUGAUGAGGCUGAUGGGUUGGAGGGAGGUGAGGGAACAGAGGGACAAAUGCCCUUGCACAUCUAUAGGAUCACGACCGAUGAUGAAUCCCAUUGUCUAGGAGUGGUGCUGAUUGAAGAGUGCGAAGAUGCACACGAAUUACAUGAGAAAGUUCUAGAUGUUAUAUUUGAAAAUGGGGAUUUGGAAGAAUACGACACGUCUUCCAUUGAGGAGUACACACUGCUCUAUCUUCAACUAAAUGGAGACGGUUUCUUGAGGGUCAAACCUGAAAUUCCUUAGGGCAUCUUCCGACACUUAGUGGAUCAAGUAUCUUCUUUUGAUGGGACUUUGUUAGACAUUUAUCGAAGAACUGAAGAUGAGAAAACUGAAUUGGUUGGUUGGAAAGGGGUUCGGAUUGAAGAUUGCAACGGUAACAUAGAAGCUUUGGAUGAAAUUGUCAGGAAUUAUUUCUUAGUUCAUAGUGAUAUUGAUGCAUGUACCUUGAUUUACUACACCAAGCUUAGGAAUGGUUUUGAUGAGGAGCUAAGUUUGGAGAUCGAAUGGGAUGUAUUCAACCAUUUGGUGCGAGGAGUUGUUGCAUUCUCUGAAGAUCCUUGGUCUGAGUGGUUGGAUGGUGAUGAGAGAUACAUUGAUUGGAAGCCUAAAAAA